CAUACAACAAGCCGCGGAGAAACUGAGAAGGAGAGAGGAGAGAGAAAGUGAGCCUGCUUCUGAAACCCUCAAUAUCCCUGCGAUAAUCUCACCCAGCGGUGACGCACAGCAGCAGUAACCCAUCACCAUGAGCCGCUACGACAGCCGCUCCGGCGACUCCACUUCCUACCGUGACCGGAGAAGCGAUUCCGGAUUUGGUGGGGCGACCGGCUUCGGUGGCUCAGCACGGUCUUCGUCAAGCAGGAGGGAUGAUGAUGGUGCUAAGUCACCAAGGAAAUUUGAUUUGGAUGGAUUGAUACCUUUUGAGAAGAAUUUCUAUGUUGAGUCCUCUCAAGUGGAAAAAAUGUCGGAGGUGGAGAUGGAGGAAUAUAGAAAACGGAGGGAAAUUACUGUUGAAGGCCGUGAUGUUCCAAAGCCCAUCAAGAGUUUCCGUGACACUGGGUUUCCAGAAUACGUUUUGGAACAAGUUACAAGGGCUGGAUUUGUGGAACCUACACCAAUUCAAGCUCAAGGAUGGCCAAUGGCUUUGAAGGGUCGCGAUCUCAUUGGUAUUGCUGAAACAGGAUCAGGGAAGACACUAGCCUACCUGUUGCCUGCAAUUCUCCAUGUCAAUGCCCAGCCAAUUCUGUCUCCUGGAGAUGGCCCGAUAGUACUAGUUUUAGCUCCAACCCGUGAACUUGCUGUUCAAAUCCAACAAGAGGCCACUAAAUUUGGUUCAUCAUCAAAAAUUAAAAGCACAUGCAUAUAUGGCGGGGUUCCAAAGGGUCCUCAAGUUCGUGAUCUGCAGAAAGGAGUUGAGAUUGUAAUUGCUACACCCGGGAGGUUGAUUGAUAUGAUAGAGUCGCAUCAUACCAACUUGCGAAGGGUCACGUACCUUGUGCUGGAUGAGGCCGAUCGGAUGCUAGACAUGGGGUUUGAACCUCAGAUAAGGAAAAUCGUUUCUCAGAUUCGCCCAGACCGUCAAACAUUAUACUGGAGUGCUACCUGGCCAAAGGAGGUUGAACAACUGGCUAGGCAGUUCCUUUACAAUCCAUACAAAGUGAUAAUAGGUUCUCCAAAUUUGAAAGCUAACCAUUCGAUCCACCAAAUUGUUGACAUCAUUACUGAAAAUCAGAAAUAUAACAAAUUGGUAAAGUUGCUAGAGGAUAUUAUGGAUGGCAGCAGAAUACUGAUAUUCAUGGAUACUAAGAAAGGAUGUGAUCAGAUCACUCGGCAGCUCCGCAUGGAUGGAUGGCCUGCUCUUUCGAUUCAUGGUGACAAAAGUCAAGCAGAAAGAGAUUGGGUCCUCUCCGAGUUUAAAGAUGGCAAGAGCCCCAUAAUGACUGCAACUGAUGUUGCUGCUCGUGGUCUAGGUAAGGUUUUGGCGUGCAUCGGAUUUGCCUUUGGGAUUUGGUAGGCAAAAACUGCUAACUUUGGGGUGCAUAGAUGUUAAGGAUGUGAAAUUUGUUAUAAACUAUGAUUUUCCUGGAUCCCUCGAAGAUUAUGUUCACCGCAUUGGCCGAACUGGAAGAGCUGGGGCCAAAGGAACAGCAUACACGUUCUUUACAGCUGCUAAUGCUAGAUUUGCAAAGGAACUUAUUGCCUUGCUUGAGGAAGCUGGACAGAAGGUCAGUCCUGAGUUGGCAGCAAUGGGUCGUGGUGCACCACCUCCCCCCUCAGGUCACGGGGUUUUUCGAGAUCGUGGUAGGGGUUAUGGAGGCGGUCGUCCUUGGAACUGAUUAAUGAUGGUGCACUUGAACUUGACGUCCAUACAGAGAGCAAAACUGAUCAAUCGAAUAUGUCCAAUGUAUUCUGUUCACAAAACAGAAAAAGCUUUGUAUGAAUACUGACUAGGAUGUGUGGGAGUACAAACAUGUUAUGUUUAUUGGAACUAAUAGAAAGUUUAGAGUUCGUUUACUCUCAGAUUCCGGGUUUUGGAUCCAUAGCUAAAAUUGUUAUUCUUUGUGACGUGGAUGUGAAAAAUUAGGGUUGGCAAAA